CAGCUCCAAUAGCGUAUAUUAAAGUUGUUGCGGUUAAAAAGCUCGUAGUUGGAUUUCUGCUGAGGACGACCGGUCCGCCACUGGGUGAGUAUCUGGCUCGGCUUGGCAUCUUCUUGGAGAACGUAUCUGCACUUCAUUGUGUGGUGCGGUAACCAGGACUUUUACUUUGAGGAAAUUAGAGUGUUUCAAGCAGGCACACG
rnacentral:rRNA from 1 species